AGACACCUGUUUCCAGAAUGAGAAACAGGCUGAGAGAAGAUACCAGGCUCUGUUAGUGAUGGAGCUAUAUUUAGACAAAUGACAUAGGGACUGCACGGAAAGGGACUGGCUAGGGAGGGGACCGUCCAAGGGAAGUACCGGGGCGAUGGGGAGGGGGCGAGGCUUUAAAGAAACCUGCUGUCUCCGUCCCUGGAUGUUCCUUUUCUAUGCCCCCACCACACCCCGUUUGGCACUGAAGACCGUGAGAACCCUGAAAAGAGAACGCCUUGGUUUGCCGUGCCCGUUUCACAGACUCAAGACAGUGGUUUUCAGCGACUCAGAAUGGCUCUUAGUAGAUGGUUCCAUAACCCAUAACAAUAAAUCCCUGUACAAUAAUUCAGGCGUGGUGGUGCACGCCUUUAAUCCCAGCCCUCGGGAGAGACGGAUAGACAGAGUGAGUUCCAGGACAGCCAGGGCUACACCGGGAAACCUGUCUCAAAAAAUGAAAACAAAAAGAAAACUGUAAUCUUACAAUCAUUAUAGCAUGGUGUGUCACCAGGUUACAUUUUGAGGGUUAUGCUCUGCUGGAAGAGAAUAUUCCCAUCUAGGAGAACCGGAGAUUCUGACUUGGGACUUGGGACUGAGAAGUAUGUAUAAGAUAUACAGAAGACCCAAUAAUUGACCUCUUUGACAUGACCUUAGACACCCCUAGUGGCUGGCUUCGGAAUUUUUCCAGCCGAGCUUUGCGGGUGUGUAACCUGAGAAGCCCCUGCCUCAGCUGUACCUGCACCUCUGGGCUUCACUAGGUCCCUGUCACAGCUCUGUGGGAUCGCUGCAGCAACCCGCUGGAUAAGCUUGCAAGUGUGAAAGAGUCAUCACCUUCUGGGCCAUCUCUCUGAUCAAUAUUACUCCCCUGAGACACAGUCUGCCCCUCAUUAUCCCCUCAGCAGUACUGAAGUGAGUCGUGUGUACUUCCUGAAAUGGCAGUGCCCAUGGAAUCGGUGGUAGUGAGCAACGUGACCAACUCAAUAGCACACCCUUUCUCUCUCCGUCCUCCCACGUGGGUGGGGAGGGGGGCAGGGGAUGACGCGGAUGACGAAAAUGGCCGCUCCGAAGAGGCGUUCUAGUCCUGUUUCAGGCCUCUCAACAGACCUUCCGACUCUGCUAAUGAAGAACCGGUUUGUUGGAGGAUCCAGGCUCAGUUCCCAGCACCCACUUGGACAGCUCAAGGAUACUAGAGAUGUCAAGACCAUGGACUGCCACAGACAAUGAGUGAUGCUCACCCAAGGAGUCUGUGUGCAUUGCAAAUGUCCAUAGAGUCCCAGAUUCUGCCAGGAGUGGAGGGCAGGGCAGCUGAUAAACCGGUUCUGAACACUGAAGGGCUUUAGAAUUCAGAAGAACUGUAUUGAAGGAAAGAAGAAGAAACCCCAGGCAAAAUGUACUGACUGCCACAUCCAGGCUUCCUAAAAGUCCAAAAUCAAUGGCUUUCUUUGCACACAAAUUCAGUUCCACACCCUUCUAAAAAUGGUUUGCCACUAAAGAAGGAGGGGCCUUGUCAUGGUGUAACUAAAUGUAAUGGGCUCACAAUAAACACAACCAAGAAACAGA